AGUGAACGCUGGCGGUAGGCCUAACACAUGCAAGUCGAACGGCAGCACAGUAAGAGCUUGCUCUUACGGGUGGCGAGUGGCGGACGGGUGAGGAAUACAUCGGAAUCUACUUUUUCGUGGGGGAGAACGUAGGGAAACUUACGCUAAUACCGCAUACGACCUACGGGUGAAAGCAGGGGCUCUUCGGACCUUGCGCGAUUGAAUGAGCCGAUGUCGGAUUAGCUAGUUGGCGUGGUAAAGGCCCACCAAGGCGACGAUCCGUAGCUGGUCUGAGAGGAUGAUCAGCCACACUGGAACUGAGACACGGUCCAGACUCCUACGGGAGGCAGCAGUGGGGAAUAUUGGACAAUGGGCGCAAGCCUGAUCCAGCCAUACCGCGUGGGUGAAGAAGGCCUUCGGGUUGUAAAGCCCUUUUGUUGGGAAAGAAAAGCAGCAGGUUAAUACCCCGCUGUUCUGACGGUACCCAAAGAAUAAGCACCGGCUAACUUCGUG
rnacentral:rRNA from 1 species